GAAGCAGAAUUUCCCUCAGUGCCUAGUACCUAUCAGCUAAGCAGAGUAAUAAGGUUACACAAGUCAUUUGGUUAUGAACUCCACAUAAGUCCACCUGAUCACUAGAGAACAAACAAGUAAGUCUCAUCACUUGCCGAGCAGGAAAACUACAACUGUCUCUUACCUUUCUGGAGUUACACAGGCACCAACGGGCAGUGAAGGUCAAGAAAAAACAGAAAGCGAAGAGAGGAUGAAAUGUAGAUCAAGAAAGCCAAGCAUCCAGGAAAUAACCCUUGGGAUUUGCAUAUGUAAUGGAUGGAGUUAAAUAGGUAACCGGUCUCAAAGAGGGAAAGGGAAAAAACCAGGAAUAGCUUCUGCUGAAUAUUUUAGCUGAUGUUAUCUCAUUCAUGUGGCAGACCAGUAACAGGAAAAUAAAUGACUCUCAUCCUUUUGGAAUGAAAUAGCUGUAGUAAGUUGUGACCUCAGCAGCUUCCUCCUCUUCCUCAGGCCCAGCCUUUGCUUCUCUCUGUCUCUGGCUAUUGCUCCCUAUUUCAGCCAUCUGGACAUUUUGUGAAAUCAGUGGGGAGGGAAAUGUAUUGAAGAAAAAAGUCUCCAAAGAUUCUUGCAUUUAUUAAAGGGACAUUUAAAGGAUGUCAAAGGAUGAUGAGACCAUCAUACAGUAUCCAAUAUAAAAAG